UACGUAGGUGGCAAGCGUUAUCCGGAAUUAUUGGGCGUAAAGAGUGAGCAGGCGGCUGAAUAAGUCUGAAGUCAAAUCGUGGGGCUCAACCCCAUUUCGCUUUGGAAACUGUUUGGCUAGAGUACGGCAGAAGUGAAGGGAACUCCAUGUGUAGCGGUGAAAUGCGUAGAUAUAUGGAAGAACACCAGUGGCGAAGGCGCUUCACUAGGCCGAAACUGACGCUCAGUCACGAAAGCGUGGGUAGCAAAUAGG
rnacentral:rRNA from 1 species